rnacentral:rRNA from 1 species
UACGAAGGGGGCUAGCGUUUGUUCGGAAUUACUGGGCGUUAAAGCGCACGUAGGCGGACUACUAAGUCAGGGGUGAAAUCCCCGGGGCUCAACCCCGGAACUGCCUUUGAUACUGAUAGUCUCGAGUCCGGGAAGAGGUGAGUGGAAUUCCGAGUGUAGAGGUGAAAUGCGUAGAUAUCUGGAGGAACACCGGUGGCGAAGGCGGCAUCCUGGACCGAUAUUGACGCUGGAUGCGCGAAAGCCAGGGGAGCAAACGGG